CCGACCUCGCCUGCCCUGCCCAUCCGAUCCGGAUCCGGCCCGAACCCACGCCCUCCACGCUCCACUUUCCUUCUUUACUUCCGCCUCCACGCCACGCCUGCUCACCGAAGCCAAGGACGAGGCUCCGGCUGGCGCCACCGCCUCUGCCCCGGCUAUAAAGGCGCGCCCUUUGGCCGCCCCGCUCCUCCUCCUCUCUUCGUCCGCGCCGCGCCGCGCUCUGACCGGCCGCUCCUCCUCCUCUCUUCGCCCGGGCCGCGCCUUCGCCUCCUCGCCGCGCUCUGGCCGGUCUGCGCCUCCUCCUCUCUUCGUCCGGGCCGCGUCUUCGCCUCCUCGCCACGCUCUGGCCGGUCCGCUGCUCCUCCACUCUUCGUCCGGGCCGUGCCUUUCUCCUCCUCGCCGCGCUCUCGCCGGUUUGCUCCUCCUCCUCCUCCUCCUCCUCUCUUCAUCCGGGCUGUGCCUCUGUCCUCCUCGGGUCGCAUUUUAUCUUGCUCGUCCUCGGUCGAUUCGUCCGUUUAGAACCGCGUCUGGAUUUGGUUUUGCUCGUCCUCGCCGUCGCCGGUUUAGAUAGAGAAUCCCGCCUGAUUUGAGUUUGCUCGUUCUCGCCGCCGUUCGUCCGUUUAGAGUUGCGUCUGAUUUGAUUUCGCUCGUGCUCGGUUCGUCGGUUCAGAAUCGCUUCCGAGUUGAUUUUGCUCGUCCCGCCGUUCGUCAGUUUAGAGUCGCUUCUGAUUUAGUUCUGCUCGUUCUCGCCGCCGUUCGUCCGUUUAGAGUCGCGUCUGAUUUCAUUUUGCUCGUGCUCGAUUCGUCAGUUUAGAAUCGCUUCUGAUUUGAUUUCCUUCGUCCUCGCCGUCGUCAGUUUAGCGUCGCUUCUGAUUUGGUUCUGCUCGUCCUCGCCGUCGUCCGUUUUUCCUCGUCCUCGCCUUCGCCCCGACGCGCCCGCGUGUUCUUGGUCCGUCUCGUCGAGGGUCUCCGUCUGGUUUGCGGUUGAGAAAUUUCUGCGUGCGCUUCUUCUGUUAUCUGAAAGACACUUUGGAUGUUGCGUUUCGUGUUCGUGUCAGCGCGAGUGUUACAGGAACGGUCGGGUCUUGGUUUUGAAAUUGGGUUACAGCCGGAGAUGGGGAGGCAGAGAGCAAUUGUCAAUUUGUCGUGCUAGUUCGUCUGUCGUUUUCAGAUCUCAAACGGCUAGCUUGUUUGUGUUCGUGUUCGUCCGUCAGAGACGUGCCCUUUGAUACUCUGCUUCCUCUGUCGUUCUGACUGAUUGUGCCGGCUAGCUUGUUUCACCUUGGGCAGGCGUGUGUGCUCUCAUCCCAGAUGCAGGGGUGAUUCUUUACAGUUCUUCUUAGGGGUGUUACUGCUUCUGUUCUUUUCAAUUGGUUAUUACUUCCUAUCAAUGCUUUGCUUCUGUUCCCAUAUAUUGUUAGGCCGUGGGUGCCAUUUCUUGCAGGCAGGCAGAGCAGAAAACUUUUACAGGAGUGCAAACCAUGUGGCCUGCUGCCUGACUAAUUGAACACCUGCUGCUGCUACUGUUGGACAAGGUUUCCUUCUGUUAUUCCUAGUGUUGCUAUUUCCAUUUUCAUACGAGUACUAGAUGAGGUGCUGCUAGUUAGUCCCCCCCCCCCCCCCCCCUACACUUCGUUCUAGAUUGCAUAGCAUAACUCCAGAAUUUUUCCAUUGCACACCUGGGCUAUAUUCUGUUGCGAGCAUAACUUCAGAAUUUGUUUAUUUAUCUGUGAGAGAGACGACGAGACUCACAUGUUUUUUAUCAAUGCUGCUCACUUUUAUCACGUCCCUAUUAUCGAGAUGCUGACUUCUAUAUUGUCGCUAUGUAGCCAUGCAUGGGAAGCCUGGGCAUGAUUAGGAUUUGGAUUGCAUAUAGAUUUAAUGCUCUGUUUGUUUAUAACCUGGUUGUGAUCUAACAUAUGUAAAUCUGCUAUUUUUAGUUUAAUUUAUGUUCAACGCAAGAAACAUUUAUUAGCCAAAUUUUGCUACUUCUGAGAACUUUGUUUUAAGAUGUGUUGUAUCAUAACUGCCUAUUCUGAUAUUUGCAUGGAUCUUUCUAUAUAAGGCAUUGGCAUGUCAUGUUGUGACCUAUUACCUCUGUGGUUGGUAGUAUCUUUGGCCUUUGAUUCUGCUCGUCCUCGCUGUCGUCAGUUUGGAUAGAAUCGCUUUGGAUUUGAUUUUGCUCGUCCUCGCCAUCGUUAGUUUAGAGUCACGUCUGAUUUGAUUUUGAUCUCCUCCUCGUCCGUUUAGAAUCUCGUCUGAUUAGAUUUUUAUCGUCCUCGCUGUCGCCUGAUGCGCUCGCAUGUUCUUGGGUCGUCUUGUCGAGGGUAUCCGUCUGGUUUGCGAACUAAAAUUUCUCUGCAUCCGUUUCUGUUAUCUGAGAGACAUUCCAGAUCCUGUGUUCUGUGUUCGCGUCGGCGUGACGGUUGUAAGAACGAUCGGGUCUAGUUUCGAAAUUGCAUUGCAGACGGAGACGGGGACCAAUGUCAGUUUGUCGUGCUAGUUCAGAUCGGAUCGGUUCACUUUCUGGAACUUCUUUAUAGCUUUCUGAGUUUAUACUUCGUUCUUGCAUGCAUUAGCUUUCUGUUUGUACCCCUAUCUGACUGUGUGUGUGAUGUGCCUCUCUAUGUAUGUUUCUUUGUCUGUUUCAUGUGUGCAAAGCGCUCCAUUGUCUGUGUGUGAUUGUGUGUUUGACUGCUUUGACUGCUUAGAAAUUUUGACUCUUGUAACACUCACUUGCUUGGCUUCCACUCCUUUGCGUAGCCGAUUUGGCAUGCAAUGCAUCCCAUGCCUAUCUUAUUUAUCUCACUCACUCAUCACAGCACCCUUUUCCCUGUUUUUGUUCCUUAUUUUCCUUGUCAUAAUAAUCAUGUUUACCGUGGUGUUUGACAAUGCAUUUUUUGUGAUAUCUGUGUUUCUUAUGUCUUAUGUGGAUAUCAUAUACUUUUUUUGUAUUACUGCUGUCUAGUCACUGGAAUAAUGCUUUUCUAAGUAUUUCAGGUAGGUGCUUUUCUAAGUAUUGUCACAUUUGCUCUUCCUUGUGUUGCUAAGGACACUGAUGGGUUGGGUUUGCUUACAGUGCAGGACAGAUAAUUCUAUAAAGAAUCAUUGGAAUAUUUCUCUGGCAAUUCCAAGACUUCAUGAUGACUUCAAGAAUAAACAGAAGACGGCUGCUUCUGAGGGCCAUCUUGAUCUGAACAGCUCAUCAUUCUAAUUUUAGCUCACCUCUACAGUCAUACAAACUGGCAUGCCAAGGACUGCUCAGGGUUCCUAUCUCUUUCUGUUUUACCAACUAUAAGGUAAUCAAAUUUUGAUCUUCAGCUUGCAAAUUUAUCACCUUAUGGGAGGGAAAGGUUUGCAUGUACAUGAGCUCUGAUUAUCUACAUAUAUACUUGAAUUGCUUUGGAUUUGUCGGACUACUAUUCUACAUGAUGUUCUCCAUGAUUCACUUGAUUUGUUAAUUUGAGUAUUUUCUUGGUGAGUUCUUUAGGUUCAUCUUGUGACACAAAAUACAAUUUUGGUACAUGCAGACUCUGAAAUUUUGUGAUAAAGAAAAGGUACCUCCUAAUUUGCUCUCUGGCUCUCUUACUCUUAUCUUUGUUUGUAUAACAGUAGUGGCCUCCUAGCUUGUAGUUGGGUAAUGCAGAGAGAGGUCUGGAAUUGAAGCUAUAAUAAACUAAAAUAAUGCAGAGUUGAAGGUUCUGAACGGGAAGCUUGAACAAACAGCUUACUUUUUUUCAUGUCUUCGAUUAGUUUCAUCCUAUCUAUGUCCGUUUCUUGUGUGCAAGCACUCCAUUGUAUAUGUGUGACUGUGACUGUGUGACCGUGACUUUGCGUGUGACUGACUGUUUGUGUGUGUGACUGACUGUUUGUGUGUGUGACUGACUGUGUGUGUGUUUCUUUGUCUGUUUCUUGUGCAAGCGCUCCAUUUGUGUGUGUGUGUGUGUGUGACCGUGACUGUGCGUGUGAUUGACUGUUUGUGUGUGUGACUGACUGUGUGUCUUUCUUUGUCCGUUUCUCUUGUGCGCAAGCGCUCCAUUGUGUGUGUGUGUGUGUGUGUGUGUGUGUGUGCUGUGACUGUGUGCCAUUUUAUGACUGUGACUGUGUAUUUGACUCUGUGUGUGUGUGUGUGUGUGUGUUGACUGUGUCAUUGUGCAAGCGCUCCAUAACUACCUAUUGGCACCUGAUAACGCAUGGAUAUUUCUAUAUAAGGUCAUGGGCAUGUUAUUUUAUGACCUACUCCCUCCGUAAACUAAUAUAAGAGCGUUUAGAUCACUACUUUAGUUAUCUAAACACUCUUAUAUUAGUUUACAGAGGGAGUACAUACCUCUGUAGUUGGUAGUAUCAUUGCCCUUUGGACACUCUUCAAUGCAUUGCUGUAUAUUUAUGAUGUUUGUGCUCAGAAUGAUGUAUAUGUAGAAUCCAGGGGUGGAUGGAGGCUUUCAUAUUGAUUUGUUAUUAUGGUUGUUCUGAUGGUGUGCUUCUGGUGUUUGAACUGAAGCCGUGGAUCGCCCAUCAACCUGGUCUGUGUUUGUAUGUAUCUACCUAUGCAGCUGAAUUAUUUCCGGAUAGGACAGAGUUGCAAUGUUUACAUCCAUGGCAGAAGGUUCUUUAACACUGAACUCAUCAUCAAAGGUCCUUGGGCUCAAGAGGAAGAUGACAAAAUUAUUGACCUUGUAAACAAGUAUGGACCAACAAAAAUGAUCUCAUUGCAAGGUCACUACCUGGAUGUAUAGGCAAGUAAUGUCGGGAGAGGUCAGCUACUAGAACUUCCUACUGCUGAUCCUGGGAUGUUCCGAACAUGCUCCCGAACAUGUUCAAUUUAUCUGCCCUAGGACAGCCACUGCCAUGACACAACAGGCA